rnacentral:rRNA from 1 species
UACGGAGGGUGCAAGCGUUAUCCGGAUUUACUGGGUUUAAAGGGUGCGCAGGCGGAUAUGUAAGUCAGUGGUGAAAUCUCUAGGCUUAACCUGGAAAUUGCCGUUGAUACUAUAUAUCUUGAAUGUUGUGGAGGUAAGCAGAAUAUGUCAUGUAACGGUGAAAUGCUUAGAUAUGACAUAGAAUACCUAUUGCGAAGGCAGCUUACUACGCAGAUAUUGACGCUCAUGCACGAAAGCGUGGGGAUCAAACAGG